CCCAGGUGUCCCAUCCCGCUCCCAGUCCCAGCUCAGCCCGCGGCCGGCACAGCGCUGCCCUCAAAGCUGCCGGCCUCGUCCCGGAGCUGCACCGACCCGCCAACCGGUUUUGCCAAAACUAGGUGCCCCCCCAUCUUGUGGUCCCGGUGGGCUUCCCUGCGGGACCGGGUGGGCNNNNNNNNNNNNNNNNNNNNNNNNNNNNNNNNNNNNNNNNNNNNNNNNNNCGGCAUCUCGGGGUGCAGCAGGGACCGUGAGAUCGGCAGCCCAAGGAACAGCAGGGACCGGGGCACCGACAUCCCGGGAACCCGGGGUACCGGCGUCCCCGGGCAUUGCAGGGACCAUCACCCUGGGGCGCGGCAGGCACCCGGGGCACCGGCAUCCUGGGGUGAGAGGGCAACCGGAGCAGCGGCAUGCGGGGGUGAGCAGGGAUGGGGGCACACCGGAAUGAACGGGGAAGCGAGGCACCCACAUCCUGGGAUGCUGCUGGCACUCGGGGCACGGGGACUCUCCUCCCGGUCCCUCUGCAGGCGGGUGUAGGAGAGUUUCUCUCCCCGAAGCCUUCCCCUGGCGGGGGCUGCACCUCCCGGUCCCCAGGGAACGGGGCAGGGCGCGGGGGUCCCCUCCGGAGAGCUGUGCACCCACUGUGCGGGACCCGGGAGCGCAGGCUGGCACAGGGCAGGGCAUCAUCUGCAGCAGGCGCUGGGCUGCCCGCUCGCAGUAGAAAGCCGAGCUACGGGUGAUCACCACCCCGCACCCCGAAGCGAGCAGGGAGUCCCCCCCGCCUUAUCUGCAUGCCCAGCCCUGGGCAUUUUGGUGGCCUCUCGGUGUACAGCAGCAGCUUACGCGCUGCCUGCAGGGAGCAGCCAGCAGUGGGGAUCCCCCUUCCAUGCCUCCCCCCGCCUGCCUCGCAGACCCCCCCACCGCCGAAGGAAGCGCUUGGUUCUGAGCAUCCUCAGGCCGGAGGGUACAGGGACGCUCAACGAUGGGGACGGGGCUCUGCUGGGGCGCUUUUAGAUGACCAGAAAGCAAGCGUCUCCCCAGUCCUGCCCCAGCGCAUGGGUGAUGGGGACACCGUCCUGCAGGAGCUGGGAGGUCAGCCAGCCCCGCUCCUCCCCUCAGGUACCCCGCGGGGGACCCCCAGCCCCACCCCAGCCCCAUGGGCAUCCCGCACAGGACUUCUCCAGCGGUUUGCAGCCACCGGCCCUGCACCCCUGGGACGUGCAGGGUCACAAGCCCCGGGUGACAGGGCGUUUAGGACUGGGCUACAGGCAAAGGAUGAAGGGUCUCCUCCUUCUCUACGCAUUUCUAAUGGCUCAUUUGAGACAAGCCACACGACUCCCCGCUGGGAAGCCUCGCUGAGCUACAUCCCUCCUCACUCCUCAGGGUGCUUCUGCCCUCCCCUCACCUAGAAGCACCCAAAUCAGGGGGAGCCCUGCGUCCCCUCCAGCC
rnacentral:lncRNA from 1 species